CAUAGUAACCUAUGGAUGCGAGAGCUGGACUAUAAGGAAGGCUGAGCGAAGGAAGAUAGACGCUUUUGAACUCUGGUGCUGGAGGAAAAUCCUGAGAGUGCCUUGGACCGCAAGAAGAUCCAACCAGUCCAUCCUCCAGGAAAUAAUGCCCGACUGCUCAUUGGAGGGAAGGAUAUUAGAGGCAAAGCUGAAGUAUUUUGGCCACAUCAUGAGGAGACAGGAAAGCUUGGAAAAGAUCACGAUGCUGGGGAAAAUGGAAGGAGAAAGGAAGAGAGGCCGACCAAGAGCAAGAUGGAUGGAUGGUAUCUUUGAAGUGACUGGGUUGACCUUGAAGGAGCUGGGGGCAGCGACGGCCGACAGGGAGCUCUGGCAUGGACUGGUCCAUGAGGUCACGAAGAGUUGAAGAUGACUAAACGACUGAGCAGCAGCACCCUUGUGCCAGCAGGACUACUGACUUGAAGGUUGGGUUGCUGACCUGAAGGUUGCCGAUUAGAAUCCAACCCAGACAGAACGCGGAUGAGCUCUGUCUGUCAGCUCCAACUCCAUGCAGGGACAUGAGAGAAGCCUCCCACAAAGAUGGUAAAAACAUCAGACAUCCAGGCGUCUCCUGGGCAACGUCCUUGCAGACAGUCAAUUCUCUCACACCAGAAGUGAUUUGCGGUUUCUCAAGUCUCUCCUGACAUGAAAAAAGAAAGCAAAACCAAAAGUAACCAAUUUUGUCCUUUUUCUCCCUUAAAAAGUCUACAAUGGGCUUUCAGUGUUUUUUUUCCUAAAAAAUAAAAAUUAUCAAUUAAUCCUUAA